GGACCAGUAUGCUUUUUGACGAAAUUCUCGUCUGCGAAUUUGGAGCCGUAGAUUGAUUCACCACCGGUACCGUUUCCGGCAGUGAAAUCACCCCCUUGGCACAUAAAUCCUGGGAUCACACGGUGGAAACUUGAUCCUUUGUAGUGUAACGGCUUGCCGGCCUUCCCUACGCCUUUCUCUCCGGUACAGAGUGCUCGGAAAUUUUCCGCUGUUUUAGGAGUUGCAUCAUUGAACAAUUCCAUUACUACACGGCCGGCCGCUUGACCUCCGAUGGUAAGGUCGAAGAAAACCUUAGGGUUUGCCAUUUCUCUCUUCUAGAAACUUCUUUU
rnacentral:misc_RNA from 1 species